rnacentral:rRNA from 1 species
AGAGUUUGAUCCUGGCUCAGGAUGAACGCUGGCGGUAUGCUUAACACAUGCAAGUCGAACGGUCUCUUCGGAGAUAGUGGCGGACGGGUGAGUAACGCGUGAGAAUCUGGCUCUAGGUCUGGGACAACAUUGGGAAACCGAUGCUAAUACCAGAUGUGCCGAGAGGUGAAAGGCUAGCUGCCUGGAGAUGAGCUCGCGUCAGAUUAGCUAGUAGGUGGGGUAAAAGCCUACCUAGGCGACGAUCUGUAGCUGGUCUGAGAGGACGAUCAGCCACACUGGGACUGAGACACGGCCCAGACUCCUACGGGAGGCAGCAGUGGGGAAUUUUCCGCAAUGGGCGAAAGCCUGACGGAGCAAUACCGCGUGAGGGAGGAAGGCUCUUGGGUUGUAAACCUCUUUUCUCAAGGAAGAAGAAAGUGACGGUACUUGAGGAAUAAGCAUCGGCUAACUCCGUGCCAGCAGCCGCGGUAAUACGGAGGAUGCAAGCGUUAUCCGGAAUGAUUGGGCGUAAAGCGUCCGUAGGUGGUUUUGUGUGUCUACUGUUAAAGCGUGCGGCUCAACCGCAUAAGGGCGGUGGAAACUACAAGACUAGAGUACGUUCGGGGCAGGGGGAAUUCCCAGUGUAGCGGUGAAAUGCGUAGAGAUUGGGAAGAACACCGGUGGCGAAAGCGCCCUGCUAGGCCGUAACUGACACUGAGGGACGAAAGCUAGGGGAGCGAAUGGGAUUAGAUACCCCAGUAGUCCUAGCCGUAAACGAUGGAUACUAGGUGUUGUCUGUAUCGACCCGGACAGUGCCGUAGCUAACGCGUUAAGUAUCCCGCCUGGGGAGUACGCAGGCAACUGUGAAACUCAAAGGAAUUGACGGGGGCCCGCACAAGCGGUGGAGUAUGUGGUUUAAUUCGAUGCAACGCGAAGAACCUUACCAGGGUUUGACAUGUCUGGAAUUUCUUGGAAACGAGAGAGUGCCUUCGGGAGCCAGAACACAGGUGGUGCAUGGCUGUCGUCAGCUCGUGUCGUGAGAUGUUGGGUUAAGUCCCGCAACGAGCGCAACCCUCGUCCUUAGUUGCCAUCAUUAAGUUGGGAACUCUAGGGAGACUGCCGGUGACAAACCGGAGGAAGGUGGGGAUGACGUCAAGUCAUCAUGCCCCUUACAUCCUGGGCUACACACGUACUACAAUGCUACGGACAAUGGCAGCAAGCUAGCAAUAGCAAGCAAAUCUCAUAAACCGUGGCUCAGUUCAGAUUGUAGGCUGCAACUCGCCUACAUGAAGGAGGAAUCGCUAGUAAUUGCAGGUCAGCAUACUGCAGUGAAUUCGUUCCCGGGCCUUGUACACACCGCCCGUCACACCAUGGAAGCUGGUCACGCCCGAAGUAGUUAUCCUAACCGUUCGCGGGGGGAGAUUCCGAAGGCAGGGCUGGUGACUGGGGUGAAGUCGUAACAAGGUAGCCGUACCGGAAGGUGUGGCUGGAUCACCUCUUACCUCMUUUAAGGGAGGCCUACCCACUUGGAGAGAAUUGAUAUUAAUAUCAUGAUCACAAGUUGGUCAUCCUAGGUCGUGCACAGGUAUAGUUCAACAAGCUUUCAAACUAUAUUUAGGUUCGUAACUUCAGGCGUAAGGGCUAUUAGCUCAGGUGGUUAGAGCGCACCCCUGAUAAGGGUGAGGUCCCUGGUUCGAGUCCAGGAUGGCCCACCUGAAAGUAAUUGCUAGACAUAAUGAUUAUGGUUGCUCAAAGCACACCCAAUCAGUAAGCUAGCUCAGGGGGGUUUAGCUCAGUUGGUAGAGCGCCUGCUUUGCAGGCAGGAUGUCAGCGGUUCGAGUCCGCUAACCUCCACAUUGGUUAAAUGGUAGGAUCGUGGUUAAAUCAAUGUGAUUUGAUUUGACGAUUUUAUGCUGAAGUAAACCGAACUUAGACUUAUAAAUUGUUGAGAAUAAAUUUAGCACUGAUACAGUCAAUUGAAUUAAACGUAUCAACUGCUGAGUGAAAGCUCAGUGAAAAGAACCUUGAAAAUUGGAUAGAGAAAAAGGCAGUACGAAACACAGACAAAGUAUUUUUAAAGAAGUAGUAGUCGUGCGAAAGUGUGAUUGGUGCGGAUUGUAAGGUACGAGUCGAGUGAGAGAAAAAGUGGUCAA